UAGGGAAUCUUCGGCAAUGGACGGAAGUCUGACCGAGCAACGCCGCGUGAGUGAAGAAGGUUUUCGGAUCGUAAAGCUCUGUUGUAAGAGAAGAACGAGUGUGGGAGUGGAAAGUUCACACUGUGACGGUAUCUUACCAGAAAGGGACGGCUAACUACGUGCCAGCAGCCGCGGUAAUACGUAGGUCCCGAGCGUUGUCCGGAUUUAUUGGGCGUAAAGCGAGCGCAGGCGGUUAGAUAAGUCUGAAGUUAAAGGCUGUGGCUUAACCAUAGUAGGCUUUGGAAACUGUUUAACUUGAGUGCAAGAGGGGAGAGUGGAAUUCCAUGUGUAGCGGUGAAAUGCGUAGAUAUAUGGAGGAACACCGGUGGCGAAAGCGGCUCUCUGGCUUGUAACUGACGCUGAGGCUCGAAAGCGUGGGGAGCAAACAGGAUUAGAUACCCUGGUAGUCCACGCUGUAAACGAUGAGUGCUAGGUGUUAGACCCUUUCCGGGGUUUAGUGCCGUAGCUAACGCAUUAAGCACUCCGCCUGGGGAGUACGAUCGCAAGGUUG
rnacentral:rRNA from 1 species